GAUGAACGCUGGCGGCGUGCCUAAUACAUGCAAGUCGAGCGAACAGACGAGGAGCUUGCUCCUCUGACGUUAGCGGCGGACGGGUGAGUAACACGUGUAUCACCUACUUAUAAGACUGGUAUAACUUCGGGAAACCGGAGCUAAUACCGGAUAACCUGUUGAACCGCAUGGGUCAACGGUGAAAGACGGUCUUGCGGUCACGUAUCGCUGGAUCCGGGCCGCAUUAGCUAGUUGGUAAGGUAACGGCCUACCAAGGCUAGGAUGCGUAGCCGAAGUGAGGGGGUGAUCGGCCACACUGGAGCUGGAACAGGGUCCAGACUCCUAAGGGAGGGAGCAGUAGGGAACCUGACGCAAUAGGCGAAAGCAUGACAGAGUAACGCGACGUGAGAGGAGAAGAUGUUGCGAGCGGGAUACUCGGUUUUGAGGUAAGAACAAAUGUGGACGUAACCAUGCACGUCUUGACGGUACCUAAUAAGAAAGCAACGGCUAACUACGUG
rnacentral:rRNA from 1 species